ACGGGACCCGCACAAGCGGUGGAUGAUGUGGAUUAAUUCGAUGCAACGCGAAAAACCUUACCUACCCUUGACAUGUCCGGAAUCCCGAAGAGAUUUGGGAGUGCUCGCAAGAGAACCGGAACACAGGUGCUGCAUGGCUGUCGUCAGCUCGUGUCGUGAGAUGUUGGGUUAAGUCCCGCAACGAGCGCAACCCUUGUCAUUAGUUGCCAUCAUUUGGUUGGGCACUCUAAUGAGACUGCCGGUGACAAACCGGAGGAAGGUGGGGAUGACGUCAAGUCCUCAUGGCCCUUAUGGGUAGGGCUUCACACGUCAUACAAUGGUCGGUACAGAGGGUUGCCAAGCCGCGAGGUGGAGCCAAUCCCAGAAAGCCGAUCGUAGUCCGGAUUGUUCUCUGCAACUCGAGAGCAUGAAGUCGGAAUCGCUAGUAAUCGCGGAUCAGCAUGUCGCGGUGAAUACGUUCCCGGGUCUU
rnacentral:rRNA from 1 species